AUUCCAGCUCCAAUAGCGUAUAUUAAAGUUGUUGCGGUUAAAAAGCUCGUAGUUGGAGUUCUGCCAGGUGCCGCCUGUCCGCCCCAGUGGUGAGUACGUGGCGCGCAUUUGGCCCUUUCAAGGGGAGCGUAUUGCACUUAACUGUGUGGUGCGGGAUCCUUGACUUUUACUUUGAGGAAAUAAGAGUGUUCCAAGCAGGCUCUCGUCGUGCAUAGCUCAGCAUGGAAUAAUAGCAUUGGAUCUCGAUUCCAAACUGUUGGUUGUAGGAAACGAGAUAAUGAUGAAGAGGGAUAGUUGGGGGCAUUCGUAUUUAACUGUCAGAGGUGAAAUUCUUGGAUUUGUUAAAGACGAACUACUGCGAAAGCAUCUGCCAUGGAUGUUUUCAUCA
rnacentral:rRNA from 1 species